UACUCAAUCCGGGUGCCCCAGUCUUAUCAAUCCAUCCUACGGUAGAGCAAAAAACUGCUUUAGACAAGUAGACAGAUGAUGACCUUAGGGUGAAGUGCUAUAUUCUGGCUUCCAUGUCAAACAAAUUAUAGAGCUAGCAUGAGCACAUGCCCGCUGCCUGUGCCAUGAUCACUCAUUUGUAAGAGUUGUACGAUGAGCAG
rnacentral:lncRNA from 1 species